AUUACUUGAUCAUCAUCAACAUCAUUUAUCAAUACAUCUAAAUCAUCGGAAAACGUACGCACAUAGCAUUAAAAGAAGAAGAAGAAAAUCAUUCAUUUAACCAUGGCCAAGAUUAGCGUGUUCCUCAGCUUCCUUUUGUUCGUCUUGAUUGCCAUGCCAACAUCUUCUUCCAGCAGGAUGAUACUCGAGGAAGUUGAAGCUAAACACAAGUGCCCCAAAGUUCUGUGCCUACAAGUUGUGUGUCCACAAACAGUUUUUUGCCCACAAGCUGUGCUUGAAUGCCCAAAUGGUCAAUAUAAGCCGUGCUGUGGCUGCCCAAGAUGCUGUUAGCUUACCUGAGGGACACUGAUCGUAGUAUAUCACAUAUUUUAUUCUUAAUAUAAUGUAUUAUUGUUGGUAUUAAUAGCGUAUUGGAUGUAAUAGAACAUACGUAUAUGCACGUAAUUUCUUCAGAAAGUAAUAAAAUGCAUGUAGUUCCAUGUUUGAAAAUGAAUUAAAUUCCUAAGCUUAUUGAAAA